ensembl:lncRNA
UUUGGCACUGAGGCAGAGCAGGUACUCAGGCAUCAGACUGGGUAAGAGAGGCUUGAGUUUGAUAUGAAACCACAAGGUGACAAACGCCGUGUCCGUCAGGUCAGCGUGUGCUGGGUCAUGGAUCCGUUCUAGAAUGUUUCUAAAAGGGGAAUCUGCUGAACUAAAGUUCUGGAAGAAAGCAGGACAUUAACCAUACUUUUAGUCAGUUAUUAGUAUAGAGUGUCAGUAGUGUUAUAGUGGUAUGUCAGUAGUGUUACAGCAGUGUGUCAGUAGAGUUACAGCAGUGUGUCAGUAGAGUUACAGCGGUGUGUCAGUAGAGUUACAGCGGUGUGUCAGUAGAGUUACAGUGGUGUGUCAGUAGUGUUACAGCGGUGUGUCAGUAAGAUUACAGUGGUGUGUCAGUAAUGUUACAGUGGUGUGUCAGUAGAGUUACCGUGGUGUGUCAGUAGAGUUUCAGUGGUGUGUCAGUAAUGUUACAGUGGUGUGUCAGUAGAGUUACAGUGGUGUGUCAGUAAUGUUACAGUGGUGUGUCAGUAGAGUUACAGUGGUGUGUCAGUAGAGUUACAGUGGUGUGUCAGUAAUGUUACAGUGGUGUGUCAGUAGAGUUUCAGUGGUGUGUCAGUAGAGUUUCAGUGGUGUGUCAGUAGAGUUUCAGUGGUGUGUCAGUAGAGUUUCAGUGGUGUGUCAGUGGUGUUACAGUGUACGCACUGUGUGGGCAAGCUGGUUCAGAAGUGUGUUGAGGUUGCUGGAGAGGUGCAGUACGAGACUGUUGACUGUUUCCCCUGUGAGCAUCAGAUUAGUGCUCUCCACACACUGCAGGAUUUUUGCCACAUUCUCCAUCACAUUAGUCACCUGGAACAACAUAACAGCACGUCACAUACAGUGCUGUGGAAAAGUAUUUGCCCCAUCCUGAUUUCUUCUGUUUUGUGUAUAUCUCACAUUAAAUUGUUUUAGAUCUUCAAACGAAAUACAACAUAAAUCAAAGACAACUGGAGUAAACACACAAUACAGUUUUUAUUUAUUGAAGCAACAAAAGUUAUCCAACACCUAUCAUCCAUUUGAAAAAUGAAUUGCCCCCUUAAACUUUAAAUCUGUCUGUGCCACCUUUAGCAGCAAUAACUGCAACCAAACUCUUCCAAUAACUGGAGAUCAGCCUUUCACAGCGCUGUGGUGGAAUUUUGGCCCACUCUUCUUUUUCAGAACUGCUUUAGUGCAGCCACACUGGAGGGUUUUCGAGCAUGAACUGAAGGUUUAAGGUCCUGCCACAGCAUUUCAAAUUUUUUUUUUUUAGCCAUUCAGAGGUGGUCUUACUUCUACGCUUUGGAUCACUGUCUUGCUGCAUAAUCCAGUUGUGCUGGAGUUUAAAUUUACAGACUGAAGACUGGACAGUCUCCUUUAGGAUUUUCUGCUAGAGAGCAGAAUUCAUGUUUCCCUCAAUUACUGCACGUUGCCCAGACCCUGAAGCAGCAGCGCAUCCCCACACCAUCACACUUCCUCCACCACGCUUGACCGUAGGUAUGAUGAUCUUUUUGUGGAGUUCGGUGUUUGGUUUACUCCAGAUGUGACGGGACUCCUGUCUUCCAAACAGUUCCACUUUCACCUCAUCAGUCCACAGAACAUUCUCCCAAAAGCUUUGAGGAUCAUCAAGGAGUGUUUUGGUGAAAUUCAGACGAGUCUUAAUGUUCUUCUGGGUUAGCAGUGGUUUUCACCUCACCACUCUUCCAUGGAGCCGUGUUCCCCCAGUGUCUUUCUGAUAGUGGAGUCAUAAACAGUGACUUUAUUGAUGAGAGAGGCCUGUAGGUCCUUUGAUGUUGUUCUGGAUGAGUAGAUCGGAUUCACUACUAUGCUGAGUUUUUCCAUUUGGAGAUAACAGCUCUCGCUGUGGUUCUUUGGAGUCCCAGAGCCUCUGAAAUAGCUUUGUCACCCUUCCCAGACUGAUGUAUUUCAAUCUCCUUCUUCCUCAUCAUUUCUAGAAUUUCUUUCAACUUUGCCAGAGUGUGUUACUACGUAAGAUCUUUUAACCAACUCCAUGCUGUUGAAAAACAUUUAUUUAAGUGUAGAUGUGAUUGAACAGGGUUUGCAGUAAUCAGGUCAGGUUGUGUCUCGUCCAGCUGAGCCCCAUUAUCAAUGCACUUUCAUAGAUUUGGGGAAUUAGUAACUACGGGGGCAAAUACAUUUUCACACAGGCCCAAUUAGUAUUGGAUAACUUAUUUGCUUCAAUAAAUAACAUUAUUAUCAUUUAUAAACUGUAUUUUGUGUUUACUCAAAUUGCCUUUAUUUUAUCUGAGAUAUAAC